GUCCACGCCCUAAACGAUGUCAACUAGGUGUUGGGAGGGUAAAACCUUUAGUACCGGAGCUAACGCGUGAAGUUGACCGCCUGGGGAGUACGGCCGCAAGGUUAAAACUCAAAGGAAUUGACGGGGACCCGCACAAGCGGUGGAUGAUGUGGAUUAAUUCGAUGCAACGCGAAAAACCUUACCUACCCUUGACAUGUCAGGAACUUUCCAGAGAUGGAUUGGUGCUCGAAAGAGAACCUGAACACAGGUGCUGCAUGGCUGUCGU
rnacentral:rRNA from 1 species